GACAGAGGGUGCAAACGUUGUUCGGAAUUACUGGGCGUAAAGCGUGUGUAGGCGGCUAAGUAAGUCGGAUGUGAAAGCCCUGGGCUCAACCCAGGAAGUGCACUCGAUACUACCUAGCUUGAGUAUCGGAGAGGUUGGUGGAAUUCUCGGUGUAGAGGUGAAAUUCGUAGAUAUCGAGAGGAACACCGGUGGCGAAGGCGGCCAACUGGACGAAUACUGACGCUGAGACACGAAAGCGUGGGGAUCAAACAGG
rnacentral:rRNA from 1 species